rnacentral:piRNA from 1 species
UAACAGAAGAAUCUUGUCUGCUUUGGACAU